UCAGGUCCAUUUUCACAGGACCUUGCACGAUGAUCUUCAAAUCGCCACGGGCAAUUAUAACGGCGCAAUUACACAGAAACCACUUAUUGAUGAGAUGAAAAUUGUAAUUGCUUUGGGUGUGUACGCGUAUGUAUAUGUGAAAAAAAACAAACGGUGUUUACGUCGAGACAAUUGACGCAACUGCUGCAAGGAAAUAUGAUGCCAAUGCAAACGACAAAAUACAGCGUUCGUUCCACAACAAUACGUCAUCCCGAUUUCAUACGACACCGACCAACUGAUGAAUGAAUUGAUGCGUAAAAAUUGUCAACUCAAUCAACGAACGAAUUAAUUUGAAUGAAAGUUUGACAUUUAAACGAAAUGAAUUUAAAUUAUAAAAUCCACACGUGAUUUAAACUCGAAUAGAAAAUGUAAAACGGAUCAAAAUUCCGAUAAAAUCGCGUGGCAUCGUUUUAAGUGAAAUUAAAACCCAUUUCGACGACGAACUUUUUCGUUUUUAAUUAAAAUUGAAUAUUUUUGGCACGAACAUAUGUUCUAUAGACACCGUAUACAAUUUCAAGUUCAUGCCUUUUAUUUUAACAUUUAAAACCGAACGGUCAUUGGAACGGUACAGAAUAGAGACUUGAGCUACUUACAUUUUUGAGAGAGCAAAUUGAAAGCCGACCACUUUGUAAUGAAUUUUUAGCAAACGCUAAUUUUCGGGGAAAAUUCUGUUUCUUUUCACAAGUGACAACGAACGUCUCGGACACACACACACACACACACACACACACACACUUUUUUCAUGUCUGUUGUUGUUCAUUAUGAGUCGAUUGAAAUGAACGCAAUUUAUUGGCCCUUUGCCACAACGAGACUACACAGAUGAUUCAUAAACGCGGGUUUCAAGUUACAUUUUUGCAGUCACUUUGUCAUUUUAACGUUGAAUGGAAGCCCAGAUAAACGUAUAUUUCAGUGUACUAAAUUAGAAUAUGAGCUCAUACGGCACAUACACUCUCAAUUUUGCAGCCAAACAUUUACAAUUUCAACGUACACAAUAACAAGGGAACAUAUGAACUGUCAGAAUCUGGCAGACACACUGACUGCUGGAUCAAAUGCAUUUCCAACUCAAACCUAUUAGUCACCUUUAACUCGAUCCGAAUUUCCGAUAUCAAUUUUCCAUUUCACAUUCAGUUUUAAAAUUGACUGAAAAAUAACGAAGAUUUCUAUUUGAAAAUGGACACUAAAAUUGAAAAAUCGUUUGAUUUUUUCUUGCAUUUUAUUGUUUCAAUAUCCAAUUUUGCAUCUGUUCAAGUAUUUGUCCUCUGAUGAUAUUUUCCAUUAAAAGUUAAUUUAAAUUUUUUCUUCCAAAUUCUGCUCUUUCUUCUUCUUUUUCGUAUCAAUCAUCAAGUUCUACCAACUGCUAUCAUUAAACCACUAACAACAUAACAGUUUAGCUUUUUAAAUUAUCAUUAAUUUUUGUUGGUAACGAACCAAUUGGUAGGGGACAUUGCUGCAGGUUGGCAAAACAAAUAGUGGUAGUUUUGGUCAUAACUUUGUCAGGAGUGAAAAAUUAGAAGAGAUUAAGGUACCGUUGGAUAGAUAAUGUCUUGAGCUAUAAUUUUGCUUAAGAAACAUAUGCAAUUGCUUUUCAAAAACAAAAUUUAUGGUCAAAUUUCUGAAGGUGCUGAAAAUGGCGAAAAAAAUUUUUUUGCUGCAGGUUGAGAAUUUUCAAAAUUGUUAUUUAAAAUGUAAAAAAAUCUAUAAAAUUAUGAUAUACUUUCAAUGUUAUGAUGAUUUUAUUGCUCUAUAAAGCAAUUUGGAGCCCAAAAAUUACUCUAAUUCAUCAGAUUCGUUGUCCAUUUCCUGAAUGGUAGUCCAAUCAUAAAUUUGAUUAAAUAAAUGAAUUUUCGAAAAAAAGUCAUCUUAAAUGACUUAUUUACUCUUCAAUAAUGAUUCAUAAACGAGAAAAACAAUAAAAUCUUUUUUCAAUGCAAAAUAAUCACUUUAUGACAUUCGGCAAUAACUAAAAUGACAAGUUUUCGCAUUAAAAUUCAUGGGCGUAUUGGAAGUGUAUCAAAACAAACGCCAGUUCUGUCGGAACAAUUUUUAAAAAAGAACAGGCCUCAAAAUUAGAUUUUCAAAACUAUUCCGAUGGCGAUAUGAUCACGUAUAGUGAAAAAAAGUAACGAUUCUCAACCUGCAGCAAUUCUCAACCUGCAGCAAUGUACCCUACCGUUAAUCAAGGUCUUCUUGUAUUCGACUGGUAAGUGCGGUUAGAUUGGUAUUGCAAUAAGUGGCUUCGUCACCAUAAAGAGUCCAUUUUCUAUCAAGUUUUAAGCCGAAGAUUGCAUUUAUGGAAAGAAUGAAGAAAACGAAUCGCAAGUUGUUGCCUAGUAGCAACGAAAAUUUAUUGCAAUUGACAAUUGAAUUACUGUACUCCCUGCUUAUUUCAACUAUUCGGCUUUUAUAAUCCAAUUAGUCUUUACAAAUUGCGAGUGCAUUUCCGCAUGUUAUAUCGCUAUGUUGUAACGGUAAAUAGUCGGUAAGGGACCGUUUCAAAGGCUGUGCGCAAGUCGAUGAAUGCACAGCACGCAAUGUGUCAUAACGUGUACUCUGUCGUGUCAAGAUCCGUUUGGAGUAUAUCAAUCAGGCAGGAUGACUGCUGCUGAUAGCGUGCGAGACUAUUUUUGAAAGCCAUAAUGAUAAUUAUGUAUGGUUUGGGAGUGCGCGAUAAAAUGGAUUACACUAUACUGAGAAUUUGCGUCUUAAACACAUGGUUAAAUGUAGUUCAGUUGUAUCAGAGAGUAUUAUUCAUACAUUAUUUUAAAACGAAUGAAUGUCCACACAAAAAAUGAAUCAAAUAUAAUGUAGAGCCACAGAGCUGAAUCAGUACAAUUUUGAAUAUCGUUAAUACUGGAAUUAAUUCUUUUAUCACAUGGAUUUCGGCGAACAUUAAUUCUAAUGAAAAAAAAUAGCUGAUUACAUUUUACGUACUAUGACUACAGUUCAUACGCCCUAACAGUUUUGUUGGGAGCUUCAUGAUGAAUAGGUGUGCCUUCUGGAAAACAACAGCAGUUUUAUGACAAAAUAGAAAGUUUUCGGUUUAUAAUUAAUAGAUUUUUAUGAAAACAAAUUAACACAUAGAUUUCCGUUCAAAUAAAUCUCGAGCCGUUUUUCCCUUAUCAAAAAUAGACAAAUAAAUUUGAUAAAUAGUGUGCUUAAGUUUAAAGUGCGGUUUCAUGUUGCGAUUGUGGUUAAUUGUAUUAAUGAUCCCAAAUAUGAGUGUUGCUUUUCUCUUUGGAAAGGAAUUGCCAUGCCAUUUCUAUGAUUCAAUUAAUAUUACCGAUGGUGCAUCUCACUCGAAUGGGAGUAUUACAUUCAAUGGACUGGAGUUUCCGUUCAAUCAAUACGCGAAAAUAGUUUAUUCGAUGGAAAACGGAACAAAACCCAUUAAAGUGAAGCCUUACAUUCGCGGUUGUCUUUGUAACAUUCGACCAUGCCUUCGGCUGUGCUGUCCCUAUGGAUCAUUUGUGAACGAAAACACCACCGAACUGGGCGUGGCAUGCCAUAAAAAUGAAGCAGCGAAAAAUAUUCAAAGCCAAAUAAUUGAUGACAAUAAUCAAACGAACAUCGUCAAUUUGAAUGAACAUUUUGCAUAUAUCGAACGAAUAUGCAAACAUUUUACUAUCGCCGAGGAUUUUAAAGUGUACAAAAAUGGAUCCAUUUCACAUGGCUUUGGGUCCGUAGAGCGUAUUGAUUAUUGCGUUGCAAUCACUUCAGGCCCAAACAAUGAAAUUCUUUCACAGGGAAAUUUAUGCAAAGAUCAACAUAAGAAAAUAGGUUCCCAUUCAAUAGGAGGAGUCAUUGCGACAUAUUUUAUGUAUGCGUCGAUACCAUUUCUGAUGAUCACAUUUUCAGUCUACGCCAGUAUACCGGAAUUGCGAAACUUUCAUGGAAAAUGUUUUCUUUGUUUUGUCGCUUUAAUGAUAAUAUUCUACAUGAUACAGCCAUGGACACAAGUGAUUGCGUGGCAUUAUGUGGAGCCGCCGAUUUGUAGAACAAUUGCAUCAAUUUUGUAUUCGUUAAUUCUGUCACUUUCUUUAUGGCUAAAUGUAAUCAGCUUUCAUUUAUGGAAAACUUUCAAAUCCCCCGUUUCAACUGUACAUUAUUCGGAAACAAAGCGGCUAUUCUUAUGCUUUUUGUAUGCACAUGGCUUACCAUGUCUACUUUUGACUACCGGACAUAUUCUCGAUUCUAUUGAAUCGGUUCCAUAUUAUGUUAAACCAGGCUUUGGUGGCAGUACGGGCUGCUUUCUCAAGAACGAUUGGACGUCGAAACUUAUAUUCUAUAGUUUACCACUCGUUCUCAUAUUCAGCACGAACGGCAUUUUUUUCAUUUUGAUUGCAAUAAAAAUUCGAGAAACUAAGCGACAUCUACGAAAUGUGCUAUCGCUAGAGAAUAGUAAACAAACGAUAGAGAGUAUGGAAAAGGAAACGGCAAACUUAUUACUUUUUUUACGUCUGUUCAUAUUGAUGGGUCUGACGGGAAUCAUGGAGUCAAUUUCAGUGUUUAAAAGAUGGGGUCCCUAUUUCCUGUUCUCUGACAUUCUCAACAGCGCACAAGGAAUCAUUAUAUUUGCUUUGUUUGUUUUGCAACCGCGCGUAUUGCGUUUAAUUCAGAAGAGGUGGUUCAUGGGAAAGAACGGUGUUUGCUCUUGCCAAAAAAGCUGCAGCUACUCUUCCACAUGUUGUGACUAAAGAAUAUUCAAAACUUUGAAUUGAAGCGCUAAGAAUGAAUCCCAGACAACAUCACACUGUUUGAAAAACUUUUACCGAAAACAAGGAACUUGAGUUCAUCGCACGCAAAAGGAAAUCACAGAAUUUUGAUUGUAAACUACAACUUAUCAAAGCUCUGCUUCUGCAUACAUUUCAACAACAUCUGACGACUUAUUAUUCUUGGCGAUUCGAUUCUUGAAUUUGAUUAUCAUACGAUUUGUGCAAAUUUGCAACUCGAAAUUUGAAUAAACUAUCAUAAGUUAAUUGUAAGGAGUUGAGCAUAUAGGGAUAUAUUUAUCUCGUGACGAAUCCGAAUUUUCAAUGCCAAAUAAUCAAUGUAAUUGAAUCAAACAUCUCAUUUUUACUACUCACCUUUUAAUUCGAUCAGACCUUCUGAUUUCCACUUCGAGCAGAACAAAAAGACAGCGAAAAAUGAAGAAUACCAUUUUGUUUUUCAAACUUUUUUUUCUGCAUUUUAUUAGUAUUUGUUCUAUAAUUAUCAUUAUGAAUUGAUUUGAAUUUUUUUUAAUAUUUUGAGUUUUUUUUUAAAUCAAUCUGCGGGUAUUUUCUUUUGUUGUUGGAUUAGAUCUUACGUGGUAUUUACAUUAAAAUCUUUAAAUAGAUUAUAUUACACUUUCUGUCGACACAUUCAUUGAUUUUGACCAUUGAAUGAUAGCGGCACAUUUUGAGACGAGAACAUUAAUAACGGAUCAUUUCGCUGGAGUGGUCGUAGAAAAUGCCCGUCAAAAUCGGAAAAUGACGUUCAAUGUUGUUGACUGAUUAGUGUGGCCAAUAGAACGGAAUUGAUUUUGGUUAUCGUUAUUUUCAGUUGGCAUAUCGAGUUGAGUUUAAGUUAAUGGAAAACUGAAUUGGAGCUUCUUAAUUGAUCUAAGUUUAUAUAAAUUAGUUGCUGUGUCGUGUUUAAUCAUAAAAAAUAUUCUUUUAUUUUGGUUUUUCUAUAAAUCAUUUUCGAUCGAUGCGCGUGCAUUUUUUAUCGUCUCCCACUCCAAGCAUGAUGUUCUCGGUUAUUUUGUGCAGCCAUCACUUUAAUUUCGUUUGUUGCUUAGUAAAUUGUUAGUUGGAAAGGUUGUUAAAUAGUCUACAUUGCAUCCGCGAAAUAUUUUAUGCUUUGGAAAUUCAUUCGAUCACAACAUUGCAAAUGAUAUGUUAUUUGAUUUGAAAUAGGGCGGGCGAUUGUUUCUUCUCCUCAAUCUGUUCAAUCAUUUCUCUAGUUUUAUUUUUCUUCCUUGGAAUAUAGAGGAAAAAAUGCUUCUUUUUAUUCAAAUAAAAUUUAAAAUUUAACUAUAAAUAAAAUGUUCUAUUCUGAAUUGAAAA